CGGCGGAAUAGAAUUUUAACAAGUUAACGUUCAAUUUUAUUUUCAGAUCUAUGGUUAAGCUGUUGUACCUGGGAAUCCCAGUGAUAGCAACGAAUCCCCUCAUGUAAUGUUACUGUAGUAACCUUCAUGCAAACCGACAAGAGCCCAUCCGGGAAGUGAUGUUUUAAGGACAAAAUGGUGGUACUAAAAGAAGAAAACCACCAUAGUUCUCACCCUGGUGACAAAUUUAAAAUGGAUCCACAAAAGAAUAAACAAUCAUCUCCCGAUCAACAUCUGUUGGAAAACUCAAGUGAAGAAAGUAAAAAUGAUCAAGAUGAAAGCACUUUACACAAAACAAUUAAACAAGAAUCAGGCAUUAAUUUAACAGACUUUAAGAAACCAUGGACACCAAAAGCAAAACCACAUCUGCAGUUAUAUCAAAGGCAAAAAGCACGUCUAGCUGUGUCUCCCCUGGUGAAGAAGCUAAUGUCAAGGAAGAGAAGGAAGGAUGAGUCUGAGAGUGGUGGUUCCUCCAGUGAGGAAGGUUCUCUGACAAAGAAAAGGUGGUGUUCUUCACCACAGAGCCAG